UCCAAUAGUUAAUUUUUUAGUAAAUGCCAAACAACAGUUCUCCACCCAGGGUCUUCAACAAUUUCAGGUUCCCUUUCUGCUAUAUGGACUAAUGAUUCCACUUGCUAUCGUUUCAUUCAUGGUUGAAAAAAUUGUAUACAAGUUCUACCCUAAAUAAAAAUCAAGAAAUGUAUGCAUAAAUAAAACUUAAAACAGU